UAUUUGAUGUAUAAAAGAUAAACAAGUAAAAUGUGGUGUAGUGUUUUUGUUGAUUUAUUUUGUUUUAAAAAUUAGGAAAAAAAAUUAUGGGACAAAAAUUUCACAAAUAUUACAAAAUUAAUAUAAAUAAACACGAGAUCAACCACGAAAGAAGGACUGACUGCGCUGGACCAAAAUACCCAGGACUAAAGCGAUUGAAAACCUGCAACAUAUUCAACAGGAAAUGAUCUGUGCCUGUGACGUCACGACGGAACAUUUCCCCGACCUUGGCAUCUGUGGCUGAAGAUGACAAAACGAUGUGUUGAUGUUUUUCUAAAGUAAUUCAUGUUGUAAUGGUAAUCGGUUUUUAGGUUCUAACAUCUGUAAAUAGAGAACGUAAAAGGAUGGAAGGUUAUAGCGCCUGAGCUCGCUUUCCGGAAAUCCAGGAUGUGGAAUUGGGGAAGGAGAGGAAAAAAAAAAUAAAUUAAUAAUUGGAAAUUUUUGAUCAAAUCAAAAAACAUUAUUCAUUAAAAUUAAAUAUUAUUAGAUAUAUUUAAGUGUAGAUUCGAAAAUAUUGUAUUAGGUGCAUCUUCUAGUAUUAAGUGUAGAUUCGCAAAAUUUUGUAUUAGGUGUUCUCCUAGUAUUAAGUGUAGGUUCGCAAAUUUUGUAUUAGGUGUUCUCCUAGUAUUAAGUGUAGGCCCGCAAAUUUGAUAUAGUGUAGGUGCAUAAUUCUGAUAAAGUGUAGGUGUAUAAUUCUGACAUAGUGUAGGUACAUAAUUCUGAUAUAGUGUAGGUGUAUAAUUUCGAUAUAGCGUAGGUACAUAAUUUCAAUUAAGUGUAGGUGCAUAGUUUACGUUCGCGAAUUUUUUUUUUUUGCGUACGAUUAAUCAUUCUCGAUUGAUCAAUGCGAUGUUUCGGUUUCGUUCGCCCUUGAAUGUAUUGGUAGUAAGCAAAUCUUCACUAUUGAACGUUUUAGUGCCCCAUUCUUCGUCUUGAUGGUAACUACUCGAACUAGUCCAUCUGGACCGGGGUGAGUCUCGAUGAUGCGACCCAUCAGCCAUCUGCUUGGUGGUAAAUUUUCAUCUUUUAGGAGGACCAAGUCUCCCAAUUGCAUGUUGUCAUGCCUUUUAGUCCAUUUUGGAUGUUGUUGU